AAUACUCAAAGUAGAGGAGGUAAGAGUAGUCCUAGAAAAUAAGCAGUUCUGCAAAAUCUGAUGUGGAGUUUGUACUGAAACAGAGGGGAUGUUGUGAUUCUGCUACAGGGGAAAUUAUAAUGUUGAAAAGAGAGAGUUAGUGGCAACUUCAGAACAAAGUCUUUGUGUUGGCCUCUGAGUUUGAUGGUAUUGUUCCUCAGUCUUUAAGACCUACAAAGGCCUGAGAGAUCUACAGCUUAAUCCUGACAGAAAAGCUUAAUGUGUAGUGAGCUCCUCACCAGGCCUUGCCUGUAGUAGCACUUGGAGUUGUGACCUCCCUGCCCUUGGAGAGGUCACUGGAGACAAACCCUGUUGCGCUAGAAUGACAAGGUUUGGCUUGUUGUGUUGAAUUGCGAGCUGGUGGUUUUCAGUGGAAAUCACAGUACUCCUUCUUUGGAACUAUUUGCUUGCAGUGAAGGAGGGAGAAUAUGCAAAUAUCACCACCUUUGCUUUGGGUAGAAAGUGCUACAAUAUGUAUCACUAUGCCAUUUAAGUCUAG